GUCCACACUGUAAACGAUGAACCCUAGGUGUGGGGGUGAAUAACCUCCGUGCCGAAGCCAACGCGUUAAGGGUUCCGCCUGGUGACUAUGAGCGCAAGCUUAAAACUCAAAGGAAUUGACGGGGGCCCGCACAAGCAGCGGAGCGUGUGGUUCAAUUCGAUGCUACACGAAGAACCUUACCAGGGUUUGACAUGGAUGUGGUAGGGAAGGGAAACUGGACCGACUCGCAAGAGAGCAUUCACAGGUGAUGCAUGGCUGUCGU
rnacentral:rRNA from 1 species